AUUGAACGCUGGCGGCAUGCCUUACACAUGCAAGUCGAACGGUAACGGGCCUUCGGGUGCCGACGAGUGGCGAACGGGUGAGUAAUACAUCGGAACGUGCCCGAUCGUGGGGGAUAACGAGGCGAAAGCUUUGCUAAUACCGCAUACGAUCUACGGAUGAAAGCAGGGGACCGCAAGGCCUUGCGCGGACGGAGCGGCCGAUGGCAGAUUAGGUAGUUGGUGGGAUAAAAGCUUACCAAGCCGACGAUCUGUAGCUGGUCUGAGAGGAUGAUCAGCCACACUGGGACCGAGACACGGCCCAGACUCCUACGGGAGGCAGCAGUGGGGAAUUUUGGACAAUGGGCGCAAGCCUGAUCCAGCCAUGCCGCGUGCAGGAUGAAGGCCUUCGGGUUGUAAACUGCUUUUGUACGGAACGAAAAGCCUUCUUUUAAUACAGGAGGGUCAUGACGGUACCGUAAGAAUAAGCACCGGCUAACUACGUG
rnacentral:rRNA from 1 species